rnacentral:rRNA from 1 species
UACGGAGGGUGCGAGCGUUUGUCCGGAAUCACUGGGCGUAAAGGGCGCGUAGGCGGCUCAUGAAGGCUGUGGUGAAAGUCCGGGGCUCAACCUCGGAUCGGCCGUGGCGACUCGUGGGCUGGAGCACUGUAGAGGCGGGUGGAAUUCCGGGUGUAGCGGUGGAAUGCGUAGAGAUCCGGAAGAACACCAGUGGCGAAGGCGGCCCGCUGGGCAGUGGCUGACGCUGAGGCGCGACAGCGUGGGGAGCAAACAGG